CGCUGGCGGCAGGCCUAACACAUGCAAGUCGAGCGGUAGAGAGAAGCUUGCUUCUCUUGAGAGCGGCGGACGGGUGAGUAAUGCCUAGGAAUCUGCCCGGUAGUGGGGGAUAACGUUCGGAAACGGACGCUAAUACCGCAUACGUCCUACGGGAGAAAGCAGGGGACCUUCGGGCCUUGCGCUAUCAGAUGAGCCUAGGUCGGAUUAGCUAGUUGGUGAGGUAAUGGCUCACCAAGGCGACGAUCCGUAACUGGUCUGAGAGGAUGAUCAGUCACACUGGAACUGAGACACGGUCCAGACUCCUACGGGAGGCAGCAGUGGGGAAUAUUGGACAAUGGGCGAAAGCCUGAUCCAGCCAUGCCGCGUGUGUGAAGAAGGUCUUCGGAUUGUAAAGCACUUUAAGUUGGGAGGAAGGGUUGUAGAUCAAUACUCUGCAAUUUUGACGUUACCGACAGAAUAAGCACCGGCUAACUCUGUGCCAGCAGCCGCGGUAAUACAGAGGGUGCAAGCGUUAAUCGGAAUUACUGGGCGUAAAGCGCGCGUAGGUGGUUUGUUAAGUUGGAUGUGAAAUCCCCGGGCUCAACCUGGGAACUGCAUUCAAAACUGACUGACUAGAGUAUGGUAGAGGGUGGUGGAAUUUCCUGUGUAGCGGUGAAAUGCGUAGAUAUAGGAAGGAACACCAGUGGCGAAGGCGACCACCUGGACUAAUACUGACACUGAGGUGCGAAAGCGUGGGGAGCAAACAGGAUUAGAUACCCUGGUAGUCC
rnacentral:rRNA from 1 species